rnacentral:lncRNA from 1 species
UAAAAGCGUUUAGAUCACUAUUUAGACAUAUGAUACUGGUGCUCAAGAAAUAAUACCCUCCUCACCGAAAAAUCUGCCACUCAAUAUACAUAGUAUUACAACAGUACAGCUUCGUAUGCAGAGAAAUAUAUUACAUCAAAAGUCGUCAUCACUUGAAACAUAAUGUGAUGACAAAUCUUCGAGGAUACGAUGACUAAGGAGGGAACUUCAGAUUUGCAUGAUACUUCACUCUUAAAAUAUCUCAAGCAUGGAUGAGCUGAAGCUGCAGCAUUUUACCUCUUGAUAAAGCAUACACUCUUAAUAAUAUGAUGAUGUAAUCAUAUUUCUCCACGGUAACCUCCACCGCCGUAGUAAUCUCUUCUGGAGCCAGCGAUCGCCACGGACUUCUGGUGCUCCAGCUUUGGACAGUCAGCAAGACGAUGCCCAAGGCCACCACAGAAUGCACAUCCUUUGACACCAC